GAUGAACGCUCGCUACAGGCUUAACACAUGCAAGUCGAGGGACCGGCGCCCGGGUGCGUACCACGUAUCCAACCUUCCCUUUACUCGGGGAUAGCCUUUCGAAAGACAGAUUAAUACCCGAUAUCACGGAUGGGGAUGAGUUCCCUUAGGUUGUUGGUGAGUUACCUGCCCACCAAGCCUUCGAUGGAUAGUGGUUCUGAAAGUCAGGUCUCCCACAUUUGAACUGAGACACAGUCCAAUCGCGUACUGGAGGCAGCAGUGUGGACUAUUGUGCAAUGGGCGGUAGCCUGAACCAGCCAAGUAGCGUGAAGGAUGAAGGCGUAUUGGUCGUAAACUUCUUGUAUAUAAGAAUAUGUAUUAUAUGAAUAAGGAUCGGCUAACUCCGUGCCAGCCGCCGCGGUAAUAC
rnacentral:rRNA from 1 species